rnacentral:rRNA from 2 species
CAGGGAUUGCCCUAGUAACGGCGAGUGAAGCGGCAACAGCUCAAAUUUGAAAUCUGGCUUCGGUCCGAGUUGUAAUUUGCAGAGGAUGCUUCUGGCGCGGUGCCUUCCGAGUUCCCUGGAACGGGACGCCACAGAGGGUGAGAGCCCCGUAUGGUCGGACACCAAGCCUGUGUGAAGCUCCUUCGACGAGUCGAGUAGUUUGGGAAUGCUGCUCUAAAUGGGAGGUAAAUCUCUUCUAAAGCUAAAUACCGGCCAGAGACCGAUAGCGCACAAGUAGAGUGAUCGAAAGAUGAAAAGCACCUUGAAAAGGGGGUUAAAUAGUACGUGAAAUUGUUGAAAGGGAAGCACUUAUGACCAGACUUGGGCCGGGCGGCUCAUCAGGGGUUCUCCCCUGUGCACUCCGCCCGGCACAGGCCAGCAUCGGUUCUCGUGGGGGGAUAAGACCGUCAGGAACGUAGCACCCUCCGGGGUGUGUUAUAGCCUGGCGGACGAUACCCCCGUGGGGACCGAGGUCCGCGCUCCGCAAGGAUGCUGGCGUAAUGGUCAUCAGUGACCCGUCUUGAAACACGGACCAAGGAGUCGUCCAUUAGAGCGAGCGUUUGGGUGUAAAACCCGCACGCGUAAUGAAAGUGAACGCAGGUGAGAGCUUCGGCGCAUCAUCGACCGAUCCUGAUGUUCUCGGAAGGAUUUGAGUAAGAGUUUUAACGGACGGACCCGAAAGACAGUGAACUAUGCUUGUAUAGGGUGAAGCCAGAGGAAACUCUGGUGGAGGCUCGCAGCGGUUCUGACGUGCAAAUCGAUCGUCAAAUAUGAGCAUGGGGGCGAAAGACUAAUCGAAC